rnacentral:sRNA from 1 species
UACACACCGCCCGUCACACCAUGAGAGUUGGUAAUACCAGAAGCACGUAUCUUAACCGUAAGGAGGGAGCGUACCAAGGUAGGAUUAGCGAUUAGGGUGAAGUCGUAACAAGGUAUCCGUACGGGAACGUGCGGAUGGAUCACCUCCUUUCUAUGGAGUAUUCGUAGAUUUAGAGAAAAAGCUGUGUGAAAUAUAAAACAGCUUUUGGUUAUAUCUAAGUUCUAUCUAGUUUUCAGAGAUUGUUUUUUAUGGGCCUUUUGGCCCAGACAAUUUCUGAAAAGAAAAUCGUUCUUUGAAAACUGAAUAUUAGAUGAAAAUAGACAUUUUAUUUUUCUUACGUUUCAUAUAUGAAAACGUAUUUAGUAACUUAAAAACAAUUACUAAGAAAACUAAAAUUUCAUUAAUUUUAUAGAUUAUCUAUAUAUGCAAAUAGGUUUUUCUUUAGAAAGUAUAGUAAGGGCGUAUGGUGAAUGCCUUGGAAAAUGGAGCCGAUGAAGGACGCGACUACCUGCGAAAAGCGCCGGGGAGCUGGAAGUAAGCUUUGAUCCGACGAUAUCCGAAUGGGGAAACCCACUAUGAUUAAUCUCAUAGUAUCCACAACUGAAUACAUAGGUUGUGUGAAGGGAACCUAGGGAACUGAAACAUCUUAGUACCUAGAGGAAAAGAAAACGAAUGUGAUUCUGUUAGUAGCGGCGAGCGAAAGCGGAACAGGCCAAACCGGUCUACGGGCCGGGGUUGUAGGACUCUUGUUAGAGUUACAAAGUUAGUGUAUAGCAGAAGCUGUUGGGAAGCAGUGACAUAGAGGGUGAUAUCCCCGUAUGCAAAAUGCACUAACCUCGAAAGAGUAUCCUGAGUACGGCGGGGCACGUGGAACCCUGUUGGAAUCUACCCAGACCACUGGGUAAGCCUAAAUACUACCAUUUUACCGAUAGUGAACCAGUAC